rnacentral:rRNA from 1 species
UACGAAGGGAGCUAGCGUUGUUCGGAAUUACUGGGCGUAAAGGGCGUGUAGGCGGUAUCAUAAGUCAGAUGUGAAAGCCCCAGGCUUAACCUGGGAGGUGCAUUUGAUACUGUGGAACUAGAGAUCGAGAGAGGAAAGUGGAAUUACGAGUGUAGAGGUGAAAUUCGUAGACAUUCGUAAGAACACCAGUGGCGAAGGCGGCUUUCUGGCUCGAUACUGACGCUAAGGCGCGAAAGCGUGGGGAGCAAACAGG